UACGGAGGGUGCUAGCGUUGUUCGGAAUUACUGGGCGUAAAGCGCGUGUAGGCGGCCCGCUAAGUCUGAUGUGAAAGCCCGGGGCUCACCCCCGGAAGUGCAUUGGAGACUGGCGGGCUAGAGUCCCGGAGAGGAGGGUGGAAUUCCUGGUGUAGCGGUGAAAUGCGUAGAUAUCAGGAGGAACACCGGUGGCGAAGGCGGCCCUCUGGACGGUGACUGACGCUGAGACGCGAAAGCGUGGGGAGCAAACAGG
rnacentral:rRNA from 1 species